AGCUAACGUCACCUAUAGCACCGUAGUGAUAGCAGGGGUGCCACGUAGAGUGAAUUUUCCUCCUAAUCCGGAAACAAAGCCACGAAACUCCAACUCUUCCUUAUUUUUCAGAAAAAUUAUCCGUCGUUUCUUUGCAACCAAAGACGAUUUGCUUAGUUAAUCGCAGAGAGGUAAGCUCUGUUUUUCCUCUUAAUUGAAUUCAGUUUUGAGCUUGAUUUAAGUGAAAAAUGAAAAACCCUCUGAUUUCAAUUCUUUAGAAAGAAAAGAAACAUCAGAUUCAUAAAGGAAAACAGCAAUAAAAUAUGGUUGAUUCUGAAUUUAUGUUAUCAUAAAAUUAAAUCUGUUUGUGUUGCAGAGGAAGCAAGCGAAAGGCAAACCAAAGGAAUGGGUUAUAUAAUAGUGGUAUCGUUGCCAUUGAUACUGUUUAUACUAAUAUUGGCGCUUGCAUGUUACCUAAUUGGUAGGAAUUCGGGUAGAAGAGAAGCUGCUCGGAUUCCUCAGUAUUAUGGGCCUCCUGCUCCUGCGCCUCCUCCUUCCGUUGAUAAACCAUCUCAGGUUUAGAUUUGCUUUGCUUAAUUUUCCCGCUUCCAAAUCUCAUGUUGCUUCUUUUAUGCUUGUUUGGGGUUUAUCAAGAGCUAAUGAAGAUGAAAACCUUUGUACGCAAUUACGUGUUUUUCUAUUAAUUUUUUCUUUUAUUUUGCAAAAUUCUUGAUGCUAAAGUUAGAAUUAUUAUUAUUAUUUUCAAUAAUCGAUCAACAUCUCAUGAAUCUGCGUUGCAUAUCCUUCGAGUAUCAGUGAAUUUAUAUUGUGUUUGUAUAUUAUACUGUUGUAAUUGAAUUAAACCGAAGAAAUUUGGUUCAAUUAGUAACAUUUCAAAAAUUCCCCUAUUUCUUUUAUAGAUUUUUUUUAUUUGGGAAUCGACGUUACUGAAGCAAUUAAUUUUUAUUAAUUAAUAUGUUAGUUAUAAUUUUAUUAAUAAAAAUAUGCGUAAUUAUUAAUAAAAGAUUAUAUAUAUUUUUUACUAAUAUUCUACUAAUAAUAUAAAAAAGAUAUUAUAUUUUUUGGGUUUUGAUUGGGUACGAUUUUAUACGUCAAUUUUUAUGAAUUUGGUUAGUAUUAAGUCUCUGUUGAUGUAUCCUUCCCAUAAUUUACUAUAUUAGAGUAGGCUUGAAUCUUUGGCUACGAGUCCGUUUCAUUUUGAUUUUAGAUUCAAAUCGAUGGUUAUGGUUUAAACGGGAGGAUUAGGGUCCAUUUUUCAAGGUUGUUUAAUAUCUAAUUUGAUUUUAGUUUUAAAUAAAUUUUAGACUAAAUUAAUUAAUUUUAAUCAAUUAAGUUUUAAUUAGUUGGAGAUUAGUCCACCUAGGGUGCACACUCGAUAAUAUCACUAAUCAUAUAUAUAUAAGCGAAAUUAAUAUUAGUCCCCCACUAAUAUUUAAUACUUGUAUUUUUGGAAAAUAUAUCAUUUACUCGAUCACAUUGAUAUUUGUAUUUUUGUUAAAGAAUAUUAAAACUCUCUUAAAAAUUAAAGGACGAGAAUUUUUAUUAUUUAAUAGAAAAAAGAAAAAAAUAGUGAAAUUAAAAUUUAAGAUUUAAUUAAUGUGUUUUUUUUUAAUAUAGUGAUUAAAUAGUAAUGUUGUGACUCGAUAUAGUUUAGUAGGACUAGAAUGUAAUAGAGCUUCCCUAGCUAGCAAUGAGCAGUUUCAUUAACUUGUUUCUUAAUUCAAUAAAGGGUCCAAUUAGAUUCUUCCUGAAAAAAAGAAGACAGACAAUCUCAAUAAUUAAACUAAACUCAAAUAGAUGUACGCAAGCUUGGGCUUCAUUUUAAUAUUAAUUAUUGAUCUAUUAGUUUGGGAUAACCAGACAACCAGAUGAGUAUUUUGAGGGAUGGAUGUAAAUUCAAGUAAAUUGCUUCUGCAUCAACAAUAGAGAAUUGUGUUGGUUGUAAGAGAUGUGAUAAUAGGAGACUAGUUGAAAGCAGGGACGAACCCUGUUAUGGUUGAUAUAUACACCGUCCUCAAGGUCUCGGAUGACAGCUCCAAAGACUUUCCUUCCUAGUUAAAGAUGGCAAAAUCCAUAUUACACUUUAGAUGAGCUCUUGUUGGUCUAUGCCACCUUUUGUUCACUGUAUGAUGUCCUUCAUCUACUUGUAUUGCUGGAACAUUUGCAUUGAGCCCGUCAUUCAACACUGUAGUUGUAGAUAAGGUGAUGCCAUGUGCAAAACUGCUUUGACUUUGCCUGAGAAACAGAUUUUUUCAAUUCCAGAUAUUUCAUAUCAAAGCACAUGCUUUUCCUAUCUCAUAUUCGUUCUUCAUAGAGAAAAGAUGAUGCAUGAAUGUUGACAAGGAAGUAAAUUGAGGAGACCCUGUAGGGAUACAUAUCUUGGUCCAACAAUUUUGUGCUAGCGGGCAAUACAGAGAGAAAUGCAUGCCAUCUUUCGGAGCAGAACAAAUCAAACGCCUUGAAUCAAUAUCAACUCUUUUUUGCUUGAGAUUUAGUUUAGUGGUUAGAAUGCCUCGCAAGCCUCUUCAUAGGGAGUUCUUAAUUUUUGGAGGGACUUAAACUUUCCAAUUUUUUUUCUUUUAAACCUCAGGACUAAUAUUAGGGAUAUUGUUAUCAAUGGACGGAUAAACAAAUUUAACUGUUUAUUUCUCAUAUUUCAUAAACUUAGAUAUAGAUAUUAUUUCUGUGCUCCAAGCUCAGUGAUAAUACGAAAUACGGCUACAAAUAAUCAUCAUUUAUCAAGUCUAAUACUUUAAAAUCUUCCAAUCCAAUCUAUAAAAGAAGUGUCUAACAAGAAAUUCUUAUUCUCAUCUCUAUUUACUUAGGAUCACCCUACAUUCUAAUAUUAGUAUCAACUCUAACUCUACAUUUUCCUCUUUUAUUAAGGAACUUUGGAUUUGCAAUAAGUUUAUAUAGAUACAUAAAUUGUUUUUAUAUAUUAAAAAAAAGAAAAU
rnacentral:lncRNA from 1 species